rnacentral:rRNA from 1 species
GACAGAGGGGGCAAGCGUUGUCCGGAGUAACUGGGCGUACAGCGCGCGCAGGCGGUUGGUGACGUGCCGUGUCACAGCCCUGAGCUCACCUCAGGGUGGCCACGGUAGACGCGCCGACUAGAGGCAGGGAGAGGGAUGUGGAAUACCCGGUGGAGCGGUGAAAUGCGUAGAUAUCAGGAGGAACACCGGUGGUGUAAACGGCUUUCUGGACCGUAACUGACGCUGAGGCACGAAAGCGUGGGUAGCAAACAGG